UUUUGGUUUAGUUCUGGCCAGAGGAGAGUUUUUAGUUAUAUUCCACAUAAGGAUAUUUUGGUUAUUUAGUUUUGAUUAGUUUUGUCAUUCUAUUUAGUGGUAAGAUCUUAAAGUAUGUAUAAGUACAGUCUAGGGUAGCUAAAUUGAGGUGGAUAAUUCGCAGUGCCAGCAUCCGCGGUUAUUCUGUUUUACCUCACUCUCUUUUUUUGGUUUAAAUUAUUCUGGUCUAAGUAGUGAAUAGCUGCAAUAUGUUUGUUUACUUUUUAUAAGCUGGUCAGUUUUAUAUUUUAGGAUUUCUGGUUUGGGAUAGAGAUUAGAGACCUCUUUACCAGGUUUGGAGUUUUUUCCAUGGUUUUAACUAAAAGGAUUUGGCAGCUGACGAUUUUCAUCCGGGGGAGUGUGCUUCUUAAACAGAUAGUACGCUUAUGAAUUUUCCAGGUUUAUUUUAGUUAGUGUAUAUCCGAUUUAAUAUUUGUGAUUAAUUUCUAAAUAAGUGUAUAAUAAUUAAUUAAAGUCAGGUCGAUGUGCUGCUAAUGAAUUGGGGGAUUGUGCAUUACAUUUAAAAGUUUAGUGUUGUAACUGUUUUUACUUGAUUUAGGACUCGGUAGUAGGGGUUUUUUAGUUUGGAGUCUCGAAUUGGAUUUAGUUGGGGUACACAUCGCCCGUCAGUUUCAACGUUAGUUGUGAUAAGUCGUAACAUGGUAACGAUUGGGGAACCAGUCGUUAGUUGGCU
rnacentral:rRNA from 1 species